ACAGUGUCCUCAUACGGUUACUAUUAUAAGUACUGGUUGUAGAACAGCUUUGUGUGUAUAAAGUGUCCUCAUACGGUUACUAUUAUAAGAUAAGCAAAGAUUUGAAGCAGAAAAUGAUGAUGGCAUGAUGAUGGCCCGUUGUUUCGAUUGUGGGUAAAUAGGCAUAAAGUACAUAUUAUAUUCUCAUUAUAAGAGUCGAAUAUAUGUGCAUAAUAGUUUGGUGGGAAUGGGUAGCCGUAAGCAGAGGGUUUCUACUGGUAGAUCGGGUGGAAAGAUUGUGGCAGCAUCCCACAGUGGAGAUAGUAUAGAGUAGGAGGGGAAGAAAAGAGACAAAGUGAGUGGGCAGAGCUAAGUUGCCUUAUAUGUGUGCGUGUAAUUAUAGGUUCUUGUGAUGAGGAACAGUCAUCAGCAUUUGCAGGUCCUACUUUAUUGGCUAGAACAGAAUACAAAAAAUUAUGUAUUCACAUACACACCAAAGAAAAAGGAUGCACUGCCAAUUAUUUAAACAUCAAGAUUAUUGAAAUUGAAACCCUAGUUAUGAUCCCUUCUUUAUCUUACAGAUAUUCUUUUAUGUUUUUUAUCUUUAUCUUUUUCACACUUUUCACACUAGCAGUCAGUUACAGUGCUUCUCAGGAAAGUUCUGGAGGAUUUGUAAUUGCUUCUAGUCACAUGCUUGGAGUGAUCCUUUGCUGCAUUCUUAAGGUCAUGUUUUAAAGUGUGUCAGAGAGAGAGAGAGAGAGAGGAGUCAUGAGGUAGUGAGGAGCAGUGUGAUGGAGAAGACAGGAGAAGAUGGUAACAAAGGAGAAGAGAGAAAGAGAGGGGCUGGGAAGGACUGAAAGAAAGAGAGAAGGGGUUGAGAAGGACUAAAAGAGAGAGAGAGAGAAGGGGUUGAGAAGGACUAAAAGAGAGAGAGAGAGAAGGGGUUGGGAAGGACUGAAGGAGAGAGAGAGAAGGGGUUGGGAAGGACUGAAGGAGAGAGAGAGAGAGAGAAUGUCUGAUUUCUGUUCACCUUAGAACUUUAAAGAUGGAAUGCUCUGGAGCCUCUCCAACAUGUGUUGCGGAACACAGCUGCCUAAUAUGGAAUGGCUUAGCAACGGGUGCAGGGAUACUCUGCUUGAAUGCUGUUUAAUAUAGGACAUUGUUAUCAGAGUUGGAAUUACAUUUCAUUAAAACCAAUUUAAUGACAAAACCAGUGUAACAUUUUUUUUUCAUGUCAUACAUUUGUCAUUGUUCUCAAGCAGUUUCAAAAACACAUCAUAAUCAUAUUAAUCAAAUACUUAAAAAUGAAUUACAAUGUUUUCUCUCAACAUCA
ensembl:lncRNA